AUGAAGCAUAUUGAGUAACCCAGAUUAUCUUAGCUUAAAUAAGUAAUCUACUUGCGAGUGAAGCAUACGAUGCCCUUAUUACAGUGAUGAAAUCCAGAGAGCAUACAAAUAAUGUGGGUGCAAGCAGAAAACUUUUUGGUAUGUGUUGGCUUUUAGCGGUGGAUUUUUUGGCCAUGUUUUUAUAAGUAAGUAACGGUCAUUGAAUUCGAUAUUCGAAAUUCAGAUGGUGACCAAUUGCUUUGUUUCCAGACUUUCAGAAGAGGAAAACGCGCUAGCUUUAAUGUGAGGAAAAUGUACGACGAGUUUCUCAAGCGCGAGGAGGAGUAUAAUCGCCUAUAUACCUCGUCGUUCAAGUCCAGAGACGAUCCUGAGUCGAGUUCUUGAACAUGCAGGGAAGCAAGACAUACUACUAAUCAGGCAGUCAUUGUCUUUGCUCAAAUCUUUCUCUUGUGCUUUGGAUAUUGUUAGACUUCAAACUUUGUAAACCCCUGUGAGAUGGGUUGUACGUUGAUGUUAUUUCCUCUUGUCUUCAACUAAUUGGACUGAUCCAUCAUUCCUAUGAACUGAAAUGUUUCCUAAGAUUGGUUUCUUUAAGAAGUACCUCGUUUUUAUCGACUA